GUGUCAGCAGCCGCGGUAAUACGGGGGGAGCGAGCGUUGUCCGGAAUCACUGGGCGUAAAGGGUGUGUAGGCGUCCCGGUAAGUCUCUGGUGAAAGCCUUCCGCUCAACGGAAGAAUUGCCAGAGAUACUGUCGGGAUUGAGUCCGGGAGAGGGGAGCGGAAUUCCUGGUGUAGCGGUGAAAUGCGUAGAUAUCAGGAAGAACGCCAGAGGCGAAGGCGGCUCCCUAGCCCGGUACUGACGCUGAGGCACGAAAGCGUGGGGAGCGAACGGGAUUAGAUACCCCGGUAGUCCUGGCCCUAAACGAUGAACACUAGGUGUGGGGGGUAGGCAAUUCCCUCCGUGCCGGAGAUAACUUGUUAAGUGUUCCGCCUGGGGAGUACGGCCGCGAGGCUGAGACUCAAAGGAAUUGACGGGG
rnacentral:rRNA from 1 species